CAAAAUGAAAGUUCAACUCUGUGAGUUGAAUACACACAUCAAAAACUUUCUGAGAAUUUUUCUGUCUAGUUUUUAUGUGAAGGGAUGCUUCUGUCUAGUUUUUAUGUGAAAAUAUUCCCGUUUCCAACGAAGUCCUCAAAGCUGUCCAAAUACCCACUUGCAGAUUCUACAAAAAGAGUGUUUCAACACUGCUCUAUAUUCCCGUUUCCAACGAAGGAUCCAUCAAAA
rnacentral:lncRNA from 1 species